rnacentral:rRNA from 1 species
UGUGUAGGCGGCUACGAAAGUCGGAUGUGAAAGCCCCGGGCUCAACCCGGGAAGUGCACCCGAUACUGCGUGGCUCGAGUACCGGAGAGGUUGGUGGAAUUCUCGGUGUAGAGGUGAAAUUCGUAGAUAUCGAGAGGAACACCGGUGGCGAAGGCGGCCAACUGGACGAGUACUGACGCUGAGACACGAAAGCGUGGGGAGCAAACAGGAUUAGAUACCCUGGUAGUCCACGCCGUAAACGAUGGGUGCUAGGUGUCACGGGCUUUGACUCCUGUGGUGCCGUAGCCAACGCAUUAAGCACCCCGCCUGGGAAGUACGGCCGCAAGGCUAAA